GCCGGAUUAGCGCAACAGGUAGAGCACCUCUCUCGUAAAGAGGCGGCGCGGGUUCGAGUCCUGCAUCCGGCU
rnacentral:tRNA from 2 species